rnacentral:rRNA from 1 species
UACGUAGGGUGCGAGCGUUGUCCGGAAUUACUGGGCGUAAAGAGCUCGUAGGUGGUUUGUCGCGUUGUCCGUGAAAACUCACAACUCAACUGUGGGCGUGCGGUCGAUACGGGCAUCACUGGAGUUCGGCAGGGGAGACUGGAAUUCCUGGUGUAGCGGUGAAAUGCGCAGAUAUCAGGAGGAACACCUAUAGCGAAGGCAGCUUGCUGGGACGUUACUGACGCUAAGGCGCGAAAGCGUGGGGAGCGAACAGG